AAGAGGCAAAGAAACAACCAAAAGAAGAGAAGAAAAUGACCUCUCUGAAUGCUUCUCGGUCUCCUCUCCGUUCUCCUCUCCGUUCUGCUCAUCCAGAUGAUGAGAGUGAUGAAGAGGAUUUUGUUCUCCCUUUUAAAAAGAGGGACAAUGACCCUCACAAGAGAAUAGAACAAGAGAAAAAAAAACAAG
rnacentral:ribozyme from 13 species